ACGGAGGGUCCGAGCGUUAAUCGGAAUUACUGGGCGUAAAGCGUACGCAGGCGGUUUGUUAAGCGAGAUGUGAAAGCCCCGGGCUCAACCUGGGAACUGCAUUUCGAACUGACAAACUAGAGUUUUGUAGAGGGUGGUAGAAUUUCAGGUGUAGCGGUGAAAUGCGUAGAGAUCUGAAGGAAUACCAGUGGCGAAGGCGGCCACCUGGACAAUAACUGACGCUCAUGUACGAAAGCGUGGGGAGCAAACGGG
rnacentral:rRNA from 1 species